CUUUAUUAUAAUUUUCUGCAUAUGUUCUACUAGACUGUUCUCUCCUAAAACCAAAUCAAUUCUAGACAAUGAAUGAUGUUCUCUAGAGUGGUGUGUAUAUUCAUUUUCAUUUGCAUAAUAUACUCGCUAUAUGUCCAUUAGGUUAUUUUCUUGCAUGAAAUUUCUUAAGAUAUUAGAUUGUUUCUUUAGUUGUUUACUAUUUUUUUUUCUUUAGUUUUUUUAUCCAAUGCUAUAUCUGGGACACAGUUGAAAUCCCCAGUAAUGACUAAUAAUCCCAAUUUAACUUUUUCCACUCUUUCCAUUAUCUUCUUUAGUUACUUAGUUCUUAAUACAUUAGGG